UACGGAGGGUGCAAGCGUUAUCCGGAUUCACUGGGUUUAAAGGGUGUGUAGGCGGAUUUUUAAGUCAGUGGUGAAAUCUCCGGGCUCAACCCGGAAACUGCCAUUGAUACUAUUAGUCUUGAAUUCUGUUGAGGUGGGCGGAAUACAGUCAUGUAGCGGUGAAAUGCUUAGAUAUGAUGUAGAACACCGAUUGCGAAGGCAGCUCCACUAAGCAGACAUUGACGCUGAGGCACGAAAGCGUGGGGAUCAAACAGG
rnacentral:rRNA from 1 species